GAUGAACGCUAGCUACAGGCUUAACACAUGCAAGUCGCGGGGUAACAUUGAUCUAGCUUGCUAGAUCAGAUGACGACCGGCGCACGGGUGAGUAACGCGUAUCCAACCUGCCUUUUACCACGGGAUAGCCCCUCGAAAGAGGGAGUAAUACCGUAUGAGGUCACGAGCAGUCAUCUAAUCGUGACGAAAGGUUUAGCGGGAAAAGAUGGGGAUGCGUCUGAUUAGGCAGUUGGCGGGGGUAACGGCCCACCAAACCGACGAUCAGUAGGGGUUCUGAGAGGAAGGUCCCCCACAUUGGAACUGAGACACGGUCCAAACUCCUACGGGAGGCAGCAGUGAGGAAUAUUGGUCAAUGGUCGCAAGACUGAACCAGCCAAGUAGCGUGAGGGAAGACUGCCCUAUGGGUUGUAAACCUCUUUUAUCUGGGAAUAAAGUGAGCCACGUGUGGCUUAUUGCAGGUACCAGAAGAAUAAGGACCGGCUAAUUCCGUGCCAGCCGCCGCCGUAA
rnacentral:rRNA from 1 species